CCCACCUUCAGUAGAGCCUUUAUAAACUCAAACAUCAAUAUUUAUCAUCAGCCUCUUUCAGAUGAGCCGAAAGGUGAACCUUAAUAACAGCAAGCUCUGGUUGGCCAGUUGGUGGCACAAAUGUGAAUGGUAAUGGGCCGCAAAGGGCAAUGAGAGAGCUGUCUCCUAAUGAGCCCUCCAUAAAGAAGGCCCUUACGCUUCACCAGUCUGAGUCUGUGUUCCUGCGGAAGUCAAAAGAAGUCCAACUGGAAACUAACGAAGUGGAGGUUAAGGCAUCAGCUGCCUACCUGAAAGCUGUUGAACAUGCGCAUAACGACGGCGUUCCCAUCGGCGCCACGCUGGGCGACUACGG
ensembl:lncRNA